rnacentral:misc_RNA from 1 species
GAAAUGCGAUAAGUAGUGUGAAUUGCAGAAUUCAGUGAAUCAUCGAAUCUUUGAACGCACAUUGCGCCCCUUGGUAUUCCAUGGGGCAUGCCUGUUCGAGCGUCAUUUGUACCCUCAAGCUCUGCUUGGUGUUGGGUGUUUGUCCCGUCUCCGCGCGUGGACUCGCCCCAAAGUGAUUGGCAGCCGGCGUAAUGGUCCCGGAGCGCAGCACAUGUCGCGCAAACGAGUGCCUUGGUACGGCGGCGUCCAUAAGCCCCUCUCUCACGCUCUUGACCUCGGAUCAGGUAGGGAUACCCGCUGAACUUAAGC